UACGUAGGGUGCGAGCGUUGUCCGGAAUUAUUGGGCGUAAAGAGCUCGUAGGCGGUGUGUCACGUCGGCCGUGAAAACCUGCAGCUUAACUGUGGGCGUGCGGUCGAUACGGGCAGACUUGAGUACUGCAGGGGAGACUGGAAUUCCUGGUGUAGCGGUGGAAUGCGCAGAUAUCAGGAGGAACACCGGUGGCGAAGGCGGGUCUCUGGGCCGAUACUGACGCUGAGGAGCGAAAGCGUGGGGAGCGAACAGG
rnacentral:rRNA from 1 species